rnacentral:rRNA from 1 species
GACGAACGCUGGCGGCGUGCUUAACACAUGCAAGUCGAACGGAAAGGCCCUGCUUUUGUGGGGUGCUCGAGUGGCGAACGGGUGAGUAACACGUGAGUAACCUGCCCUUGACUUUGGGAUAACUUCAGGAAACUGGGGCUAAUACCGGAUAGGAGCUCCUGCUGCAUGGUGGGGGUUGGAAAGUUUCGGCGGUUGGGGAUGGACUCGCGGCUUAUCAGCUUGUUGGUGGGGUAGUGGCUUACCAAGGCUUUGACGGGUAGCCGGCCUGAGAGGGUGACCGGCAACAUUGUGACUGAGAUACGGCCCAGACUCCUACGGGAGGCAGCAGUGCGGAAGAUUGCACAAUGGGCGGAAGCCUGAUGCAGCAACGCCGCGUGCGGGAUGACGGCCUUCGGGUUGUAAACCGCUUUCGCCUGUGACGAAGCGUGAGUGACGGUAAUGGGUAAAGAAGCACCGGCUAACUACGUG